rnacentral:misc_RNA from 1 species
AAAAAUAGCGAUAAUCGCCAGC